rnacentral:rRNA from 1 species
CCUACGGUAGACAGCAGUGGGGAAUAUUGCACAAUGGUGGAAACCCUGAUGCAGCGACGCCGCGUGAGUGCAGAAGUAUUUCUGUAUGUAAAGCUCUAUCAGCAGGGAAGAAACUGACGGUACCUGACUACGCCGCCCCGGCUAACUACGUGCCAGCAGCCGCGGUCCUACGUAGGGGGCAAGCGUUAUCCGGCUUUACUGGGUGUAAAGGGAGCGUAGACGGCAGAGCAAGUCUGAAGUGAAAGCCCGCGGCCCAACUGCGGGACUGCUUUGGAAACUGCCCGGCUAGAGUGCUGGAGAGGUAAGCGGAAUUCCUAGUGUAGCGGUGAAAUGCGUAGAUAUUAGGAGGAACAACAGGGGCGAAGGCGGCUUACUGGACAGUAACUGACGUUGAGGCUCGAAAGCGUGGGGAGCAAACAGGAUUAGAUACCCGAGUAGUC